rnacentral:lncRNA from 1 species
GGGCACAAUUGCAGGUGUCAGGGAUGCAAGAGUGAUUAAGAGAGAGGGGGCCCUGCCCUCAUGGAGCCUCACUCCAGAGGGACCUGUAGCCCACACCAAAGGAAAAGGAAGAUGGUGAGCUGAAACAGAAGUCAGAAAUGCAGGCAAGAUAUGUCUGCUGGCUAAGGAUGGUAUUUUAUAAAAGCAGCAUUGCCUCAGAGAAGGUCCUUGACAUUCAUGUCUGGUGAGCAAUGCAGAU